rnacentral:rRNA from 1 species
UACGUAGGGUGCGAGCGUUGUCCGGAAUUAUUGGGCGUAAAGAGCUUGUAGGCGGUUUGUCGCGUCUGCCGUGAAAAUUCGAGGCUCAACCUCGAACUUGCGGUGGGUACGGGCAGACUAGAGUGUGGUAGGGGAGACUGGAAUUCCUGGUGUAGCGGUGAAAUGCGCAGAUAUCAGGAGGAACACCGGUGGCGAAGGCGGGUCUCUGGGCCGAAAUUGACGCUGAGGAGCGAAAGCGUGGGGAGCAAACAGG